rnacentral:rRNA from 1 species
AUUGAACGCUGGCGGCAUGCCUUACACAUGCAAGUCGAACGGUAACAGGUCUUCGGAUGCUGACGAGUGGCGAACGGGUGAGUAAUACAUCGGAACGUGCCCGAUCGUGGGGGAUAACGAAGCGAAAGCUUUGCUAAUACCGCAUACGAUCUACGGAUGAAAGCAGGGGACCGCAAGGCCUUGCGCGAACGGAGCGGCCGAUGGCAGAUUAGGUAGUUGGUGGGAUAAAAGCUUACCAAGCCGACGAUCUGUAGCUGGUCUGAGAGGACGACCAGCCACACUGGGACUGAGACACGGCCCAGACUCCUACGGGAGGCAGCAGUGGGGAAUUUUGGACAAUGGGCGAAAGCCUGAUCCAGCCAUGCCGCGUGCAGGAUGAAGGCCUUCGGGUUGUAAACUGCUUUUGUACAGAACGAAAAGACUCUGGUUAAUACCUGGGGUCCAUGACGGUACCGUAAGAAUAAGCACCGGCUAACUACGUG